GACGAACGCUGGCGGCGUGCCUAAUACAUGCAAGUUGAGCGCUGAAGGUUGGUACUUGUACCAACUGGAUGAGCAGCGAACGGGUGAGUAACGCGUGGGGAAUCUGCUUUUGAGCGGGGGACAACAUUUGGAAACGAAUGCUAAUACCGCAUAAAAACUUUAAACACAAGUUUUAAGUUUGAAAGAUGCAAUUGCAUCACUCAAAGAUGAUCCCGCGUUGUAUUAGCUAGUUGGUGAGGUAAAGGCUCACCAAGGCGAUGAUACAUAGCCGACCUGAGAGGGUGAUCGGCCACAUUGGGACUGAGACACGGCCCAAACUCCUACGGGAGGCAGCAGUAGGGAAUCUUCGGCAAUGGACGAAAGUCUGACCGAGCAACGCCGCGUGAGUGAAGAAGGUUUUCGGAUCGUAAAACUCUGUUGGUAGAGAAGAACGUUGGUGAGAGUGGAAAGCUCAUCAAGUGACGG
rnacentral:rRNA from 1 species